CUUGGAACCUCAGAACUAGCUCAGAAGUGGGCUUCUAUGACAUGGCGACUCUUUGUGGGGACUUAUCCUCAGAAAAAGGCGCUCAGUAGCAGGCUCCACCCCUCCAGGAUGUCAUCACGUCCGUUUUUGAUGCUCUGCACCCGCACUCACAUUACAA